UAGGAAACACUUGGGAGGGUAAGAGCACGCUGUGUUCACUUUCGACGGUUGGGUGACACGUGUUACUUUCGAACUUCACUGGGCACUAGAGACACGUCUGCACGCUUCGGCACUCAACAGCGAACUGUUCCAGAGCGAAUGACAAUCAAUUAUACGUCGCCUGUAUAUCACCGGCUCGUGUUCCUUCAGCAAGUUAUGUCGCAUGGGGACAUACACAGUUGACAAAUCUCUGGGGGAAAAUCCUUUAUGAUUUGGAAACUCAGGAAAAUAUGGUGGUCACCGAUAUCGAUUUGAAAGUUGUUGAGGAAGUAAGGGCUCAGAUAUCUACAUUUUCUCAAAGACGUACGGAUUUGUACGACACUGUCUAUAAAAAGGAGUAACUCUACACUGAAACA